UAGUGUAUUGGACUACCAUGGCUUUAACGGGUAACGGAGGAUUAGGGUUCGAUUCCGGAGAGGGAGCCUGAGAAACGGCUACCACAUCUAAGGAAGGCAGCAGGCGGGUAAAUUACCCAAUCCUAACUCAGGGAGGUAGUGACAAGAAAUAACGGACCGAAGCAUUUGUUUCGGGAUUGCAAUGAGUAGAAUUUAAACCCCUUUACGAGGAUCAAUUGGAGGGCAAGUCUGGUGCCAGCAGCCGCGGUAAUUCCAGCUCCAAUAGCGUAUAUUAAAGUUGUUGCAGUUAAAAAGCUCGUAGUUGGAUUUCUGGGAGGGUGCCAAUGUCCGCUCGAUAGCGUGUGCAGCGGCGCCCUUCCAUCCUUCUGUUAACGUUUCUUGGUAUUCACUUACUGGUUUCGGGGUCAGAUAUUUUACCUUGAGAAAAUUAGAGUGUUUCAGGCAGGCUUGCGCCGGAAUACAUUAGCAUGGAAUAAUAGAAUAGGACUUUUGUCUCCUUUGUUGGUUUGAGGGACUGAAGUAAUGAUUAAUAGGGAUAGUUGGGGGCGGUAGUAUUUAAUUGUCAGAAGUGAAAUUCUCGGAUUUGUUAAAGACUAACUUAUGCGAAAGCAUUUGCCAAGGAGGUUUUCAUUAAUCUGAACGAAAGUUAGGGGGUCAAAGACGAUC
rnacentral:rRNA from 1 species